AUACGGAGGGUGCGAGCGUUGUUCGGAAUUAUUGGGCGUAAAGCGCGUGUAGGCGGUUUGUUAAGUCUGAUGUGAAAGCCCCGGGCUCAACCUGGGAAGUGCAUUGGAAACUGGGAGACUUGAAUACGGGAGAGGGUAGUGGAAUUCCUAGUGUAGGAGUGAAAUCCGUAGAUAUUAGGAGGAACACCGGUGGCGAAGGCGGCUGCCUGGACCGAUAUUGACGCUGAGACGCGAAAGCGUGGGUAGC
rnacentral:rRNA from 1 species